rnacentral:lncRNA from 1 species
CUCCACAGGAGGAGGCUGGAUACAUGGCGAGUAAAAUACUCCCUCAAUUAUCAUGAUGGAUCAGUCUUUUAUUUUGGAUCCAUGGUUUUGAUUCAAUUUGUUCGAAUCUUUCUUUCUAGCUCUAGGUCUAGUGGGUGUAAAUCAGAUUAUAAUGAUCGGCAUCCUAGUAUGCACCCAAAAGAUCUCAUCGAGUUUUAAUUUCAACAAAUUUUUUUUUUUGAAAGAGAAGAGAAGAAAAGGAGG